UGAGAGGGAGCGGCACGGAGUUGGAAAUUCUGAAUUCUGAUGGAACCUGCUGACCACAAGCACGUGGUGGGCACUAGCUGUGACGUCGAAUCCUCCUCCCAGUGGCUUUAACUCACUGUGAUGUCUAACCUUUCUCCGGCGGCCCUUCUAAUGAGGUCCCGUUCCGGCCAUAGAGACUGGCUUUCCGUUAAGUGCCCCAGACACCCCAGCUGCGGUAAUUCCCUCCCCCUCCUGCAUCUGAGUGGGCUUCAGCCCAGGUACUGAGGCCCCGGCAGGGCUGGCAUCAGCAGGGGAAGAGAGCUGGACGGCAGGGCCCCGACUGUGCAGCGGGAACAUUAUAAACUCGCUCCACCGGAGGCCAUGCCUCACAUCCUUCUCCAGGGAUCCAGGUACAGUUGCUUUCCUGCUUCUGCCUGCUGAGUUAGAGGCCAGCCAUCUGCCUCACCGCUGGGCAGGGAAGAUAAACAGCCCGGAGCCACGCUGAAGGCAGAGAUUUUGAGCAAUGUAUCCCUUCCUACAAGAAAGCCGUGUUUCAAAUGGAAAAAGAAUCCUUGAGUUUCUUUUUUUAUUUCAAAUUUGAAAGGAAACAUAAUCAACAAGUGGCUUGAAAAGCAGCUGGCUUCAGAUAAAUAGUGUGAUGAGGAGAUACCGUCGAAGUGAUGUCCUGAUGAUUGGCACAAUUAAAAUCAAUACCAAUUGUUAAAAAAUGUCUCCACUGUGAACUACCUUUGGAUGGUUUCUGUCAAGGCCCUCGAUUAUGAUUAAAGCCGAGUGCAUAAAAUUCACACAACUAUUGGGAGGCGAGGGAGGUUUAUAUUGUGCCUCUGCUGUGUGUGUGUGUGUGUGUGUGUGUGUGUGUGUGUGUGUGUGUGUGUGUACACACACAAGCGCACAUACUCUUUUCUAAGCUGAAGUUGAACAGGACCUGAGAUUCAAGGUAGAGUUCAGUGACUACAUCCAUCAGGAACAUACUUCAGCAGGACGGCGCCCCACCGGGAACUGGGAUCUGCUGGAUCGUGAGGUGUGCACCAUUUUGGUCUUUCCUUAGGUCCUUGUGUGGGAACAGCUUCAGAGGCCUUCACCCCACAUCCCCACAAGCAAAUGUUGAACUGAGGACUUGGUACGUGUCUCACAGAGCUGAGGACAUCGAGUGAGGGAAAGAGACGCCUGUUGCUCUCAGACACUGGUGGGAAAACAAACAAAAAAAGCAAGAGGAAUAAUGGCAGUAGAUGAUCCCCCACAGAAAUGAGCCCCACACACCCCACCAUCAUACGCUGACUUGUCAAAGGCCCAAAGCAGCAGGGCCCAACCUGCCACAGCCUGGAGCCUCCGAAACCAGCCAAGCUGUCUGGAACCACUGUCUGGAAGGCUUCUUCCCCAUCCCGGCAACCGUACCCAGCAAUCAGGAGGCACUGCGAAAACAUCUAGAAGACCCAGAGGGGUCAUUAGCCGAGGGAUCGCGAAUGAUGAAGGGGAGGACGGAGCCCAGCCAGUUGCACUGUGCAUCACGGAGGUUUUAACACUGUAUACGUCCAGGCUGUCCUGGAGAGAUUCACUUGGUUCUUCAGCAGAACAGAGGAACCCUGCGGGCUUCCCGUCACACUGGGGAUUCCCUUGUGUAGGAUGAGAACCACUGGCUUCAGUGGUGAGGGACUUUCUGCUGCUUCUUCUGCCCACUCCGGCAGUUCUCGGAGGGGGAGACCC